UUUCCUUCCAUUCUCAUCUCAAUUUUGGGAGAAAAUCUUUUUAUGGGUUUCUCAAAUUUCUUUUCUUUCCCAACUUUCUUCCUCUCCCUUUGUUUCCUUUCUAUUUCCAACCGUCUCCAAACAAAGGGCUAGAUUGGGACGAUUUGGCUAUUCUGGAAAAUGCAUGUAAAAUUAAUUAUUUCUUUUCAGGCCGUGUCUGGAAUUCCCAGGCAAAGCUCUAAGCUAGGCUUAUAAAUUUGAGGCCCUAAACUUCUGCAGAAUGUGAAUUGCAAUUCGUUGCUAAAGGUGGCUUCCUCUUGAAGCUAAUGGUGAUCGUUGGACUUUAGGGCAGCUCAUACAAUGUCGCCCCUACCUGGAAGUACGAAGAUCAGAAAGUAAUACAAAAAAGAAAAAACGGAUGGGAAGCGAAGAUCCAGCGGUGUUCGCGUAUUAACGCAGCAAGUGCUUUUGUCUUCCGACUCAGGAUCUUCAAUAUGAAGGAGAAAUAUUCAUUUGUUUAUAACGUUCGAGAAAAGACUUGGAAUCGCCCAAUUUUAGAACGGAUUGAAGUGAAAGAUGUAUUUUCUUUCUGUUAUCCAUAAAUCUACUCAGUCCAUACAGAUUUUCCUCUGCUUUCUGUAGAAUAUGGAUUCCGAUUGCAAAAAACCCAUCAGCUCAAGACUCGGAGAUGGUAUCAAAUCCUGAGAUUGCCACCCCGAAUCAAGACCCAACAACAAUUAUUCAAAUAACCCGUCAAAACUACUAAUUUGUAUGGUUUUUAGAAUUUGUUUUGUACCCAUCUCCCAUCAUCUAUAGUUGUGUAAUAAUAUAUUGGCAAAAUGCAAUUUUUAAA